rnacentral:rRNA from 2 species
UACGUAGGUGGCAAGCGUUGUCCGGAUUUAUUGGGUUUAAAGGGUGCGUAGGCGGUGUCCUAAGUCAGUUGUGAAAUACGGCAGCUUAACUGUCGAGGUGCAAUUGAUACUGGGAUACUUGAGUACUGAUGAGGUAUGCGGAAUGGACGGUGUAGCGGUGAAAUGCUUAGAUAUCGUCCAGAACACCGAUAGCGAAGGCAGCAUACUAAGGAGUAACUGACGCUGAGGCACGAAAGUGUGGGGAUCAAACAGG